rnacentral:rRNA from 2 species
AAACGCUGGCGGCGCACAUAAGACAUGCAAGUCGAACGGAAGUCGUUAUAAAAAGGAUUGAAGAUUUAUCUGAUUGAGAUUUUAUAACAAUGGCUUUAGUGGCGGACUGGUGAGUAACGCGUGAGCAACCUGCCUACUAGAGGGGAAUAACAGUGAGAAAUCAUUGCUAAUACCGCAUAUGCCAUGAACAUCACAUGAUGAAAAUGGGAAAAGAGUAAUCUGCUAGUAGAUGGGCUCGCGUCUGAUUAGAUAGUUGGUGGGGUAACGGCCUACCAAGUCAACGAUCAGUAGCCGAACUGAGAGGUUGAACGGCCACAUUGGGACUGAGAUACGGCCCAGACUCCUACGGGAGGCAGCAGUCGGGAAUAUUGCGCAAUGGAGGAAACUCUGACGCAGUGACGCCGCGUAUAGGAAGAAGGUUUUCGGAUUGUAAACUAUUGUCGAUAGGGAAGAUACAAGACAGUACCUAAGGAGGAAGCUCCGGCUAACUACGUGCCAGCAGCCGCGGUAAUACGUAGGGAGCAAGCGUUAUCCGGAUUUAUUGGGUGUAAAGGGUGCGUAGACGGGACAACAAGUUAGUUGUGAAAUGCCUCGGCUUAACUGAGGAACUGCAACUAAAACUAUUGUUCUUGAGUGUUGGAGAGGAAAGUGGAAUUCCUAGUGUAGCGGUGAAAUGCGUAGAUAUUAGGAGGAACACCGGUGGCGAAGGCGACUUUCUGGACAAUAACUGACGUUGAGGCACGAAAGUGCGGGGAGCAAACAGGAUUAGAUACCCUGGUAGUCCACACCGUAAACGAUGGAUACUAGGUGUAGGAAAUGAUUUCAUUUUCUGUGCCGUCGCAAACGCAAUAAGUAUCCCACCUGGGGAGUACGGCCGCAAGGUUGCAACUCAAAGGAAUUGACGG